UACAGAGGGGGCAAGCGUUGUUCGGAAUUACUGGGCGUAAAGGGCGCGUAGGCGGCCUUCUAAGUCGAACGUGAAAUCCCCGGGCUCAACCCGGGAACUGCGUCCGAUACUGGAGGGCUUGAAUCCGGGAGAGGGAUGUGGAAUUCCAGGUGUAGCGGUGAAAUGCGUAGAGAUGUGGAGGAACACCAGUGGCGAAGGCGACUCUCUGGUCUGUAACUGACGCUGAGACACGAAAGCCAGGGGAGCAAACGGG
rnacentral:rRNA from 1 species